AGUGAACGCUGGCGGUAGGCCUAGCACAUGCAAGUCGAACGGCAGCACAGUAAGAGCUUGCUCUUACGGGUGGCGAGUGGCGGACGGGUGAGGAAUACAUCGGAAUCUACUUUUUCGUGGGGGAUAACGUAGGGAAACUUACGCUAAUACCGCAUACGACCUACGGGUGAAAGCAGGGGAUCUUCGGACCUUGCGCGAUUGAAUGAGCCGAUGUCGGAUUAGCUAGUUGGCGGGGUAAAGGCCCACCAAGGCGACGAUCCGUAGCUGGUCUGAGAGGAUGAUCAGCCACACUGGAACUGAGACAAGGUCCAGACUCCUACGGGAGGCAGCAGUGGGGAAUAUUGGACAAUGGGCGCAAGCCUGAUCCAGCCAUACCGCGUGGGUGAAGAAGGCCUUCGGGUUGUAAAGCCCUUUUGUUGGGAAAGAAAAGCAGCAGGUUAAUACCCCGCUGUUCUGACGGUACCCAAAGAAUAAGCACCGGCUAACUUCGUG
rnacentral:rRNA from 1 species